AUACGGAGGGUGCAAGCGUUGUUCGGAAUCACUGGGCGUAAAGGGCGCGCAGGCGGUUUGGUAAGUCAGAUGUGAAAGCCCACGGCUCAACCGUGGAAGUGCAUUUGAAACUGCCAGACUUGAGUACCAGAGGGGAAAGUGGAAUUCCCGGUGUAGAGGUGAAAUUCGUAGAUAUCGGGAGGAAUACCGGUGGCGAAGGCGACUUUCUGGCUGGAUACUGACGCUGAGGCGCGAAAGCGUGGGGAGCAAACAGGAGUAGAUACCCUAGUAGUCC
rnacentral:rRNA from 1 species